GGUCGCUUAGCUCAGCUGGUUAGAGCGUGGUGCUAAUAUCUUCUCUGUUAAAUCAGUAAGAUCUCAACGCCAAGGUCGCGAGUUCGAUCCUCGUAGUGAUCA
rnacentral:tRNA from 1 species